AUACGAGGGGUGCAAGCGUUAAUCGGAAUUACUGGGCGUAAAGCGUUCGUAGGCGGUUUGUUAAGCAAGAUGUGAAAGCCCUGGGCUCAACCUGGGAACUGCAUUUUGAACUGGCAAGCUAGAAUCCUGUAGAGGGGGGUGGAAUUUCCAGUGUAGCGGUGGAAUGCGUAGAGAUUGGAAGGAACAUCAGUGGCGAAGGCGGCCACCUGGACAGAUAUUGACGCUGAGGAACGAAAGCGUGGGGAGCGAACAGGAUUAGAAACCCUAGUAGUCC
rnacentral:rRNA from 1 species